CAGCGGCUAGGUGCAAGGGCUGCACGCCGGCCUCAUAAGCCGGAGGUAACAGGUUCGAGUCCUGUAUCCGCUAUCCA
rnacentral:tRNA from 1 species